rnacentral:misc_RNA from 1 species
UCGCGGCUUAUCACCGGCAGUCCCCUUAGAGUGCCCAACUCAAUGAUGGCAACUAAGGGCGAGGGUUGCGCUCGUUGCGGGACUUAACCCAACAUCUCACGACACGAGCUGACGACAGCCAUGCACCACCUGUGAUCCUGCCCAAAAGGGAAGCCGUGUUUCCACGGCGGUCAGGAACAUGUCAAACCCAGGUAAGGUUCUUCGCGUUGCAUCGAAUUAAAGAACAUGCUCCGCCGCUUGUGCGGGUCCCCGUCAAUUCCUUUGAGUUUUAGCCUUGCGGCCGUACUCCCCAGGCGGAGUGCUUAAUGCGUUAGCUGCGGCACAGAGAGGGUUGAAGACCUCCCCACACCUAGCACUCAACGUUUACGGCUGGGACUAC